AACGCACAUUGCACUCUCUGGUAUUCCGGAGAGUAUGCUUGUUUGAGUAUCUGUAAACAUCUCAAAUCUCUACUUUAUUGUAAAGAAUUGGACUUGAGCAAUCCCAACUCCUUCGUCAGAAAGAGAAGGGUUGCUUGAAAUGCAGGUGCAGCUGGACAUUCUUCUGAGCUAAAAGCAUAUUUAUUUAGUCCCGUCAAACGGAUUAUUAUUCUUGCUUCAGCUUACAUAAAGGUUGAAUGACUACCAAGGCUGAUUGCAGGUAAACUCGUUCCGUAAAAAAGAACUUGUAAACUCGAUCUCAAAUCAAGUAAGACUACCCGCUGAACUUAA
rnacentral:misc_RNA from 1 species